rnacentral:rRNA from 1 species
UACGUAGGGUCCGAGCGUUGUCCGGAAUUAUUGGGCGUAAAGAGCUCGUAGGCGGUUUGUCGCGUCGACUGUGAAAACCUACAGCUUAACUGUGGGCUUGCAGUCGAUACGGGCAGACUUGAGUUCGGUAGGGGAGACUGGAAUUCCUGGUGUAGCGGUGAAAUGCGCAGAUAUCAGGAGGAACACCGGUGGCGAAGGCGGGUCUCUGGGCCGAUACUGACGCUGAGGAGCGAAAGCGUGGGGAUCAAACAGG